GACUAACGCUGGCGGCGUGCCUAACACAUGCAAGUCGAACGAAGUAGCAAUACUUAGUGGCAGACGGGUGAGUAACGCGUAGACAAUGUGCCCUCUUGCGGGGGAUACCGUUCCGAAAGGAACGUUAAUACCGCAUAAAACGGCCUGGUGGCAUCACCGGACCGUCAAACUUCCGGGGCGGGAGGAGCAGUCUGCGUUCUAUCAGCUAGUUGGUGAGGUAAUGGCUCACCAAGGCUACGACGGAUAACUGGUCUGAGAGGAUGAUCAGUCACACUGGAACUGAGACACGGUCCAGACUCCUACGGGAGCAGCAGUGAGGAAUAUUGCGCAAUGGGCGAAAGCCUGACGCAGCGACGCCGCGUGGAGGAAGAAGGCCUUGGGUUGUAAACGCCUGUCAGUGGGGAAGAGAAUGGACGGUACCCACUGAGGAAGGCUUCGGCUAACUACGUGCCAGCAGCCGCGGUAAU
rnacentral:rRNA from 1 species